GACGAACGCUGGCGGCGUGCUUAACACAUGCAAGUCGAACGGAAAGGCCCUGCUUUUGUGGGGUGCUCGAGUGGCGAACGGGUGAGUAACCCGUGAGUAACCUGCCCUUGACUUUGGGAUAACUUCAGGAAACUGGGGCUAAUACCGGCUAGGAGCUCCUGCUGCAUGGUGGGGGUUGGAAAGUUUCGGCGGUUGGGGAUGGACUCGCGGCUUAUCAGCUUGUUGGUGGGGUAGUGGCUUACCAAGGCUUUGACGGGUAGCCGGCCUGAGAGGGUGACCGGCCACAUUGGGACUGAGAUACGGCCCAGACUCCUACGGGAGGCAGCAGUGGGGAAUAUUGCACAAUGGGCGGAAGCCUGAUGCAGCAACGCCGCGUGCGGGAUGACGGCCUUCGUGUUGUAAACCGCUUUCGCCUGUGACGAAGCGUGAGUGACGGUAAUGGGUAAAGAAGCACCGGCUAACUACGUG
rnacentral:rRNA from 1 species